GAUGAACGCUGGCGGCGUGCCUAAUACAUGCAAGUCGAGCGAACGGACGAGAAGCUUGCUUCUCUGAUGUUAGCGGCGGACGGGUGAGUAACACGUGGAUAACCUACCUAUAAGACUGGGAUAACUUCGGGAAACCGUAGCUAAUACCGGAUAAUAUUUUGAACCGCAUGGUUCAAAAGUGAAAGACGGUCUUGCUGUCACUUAUAGAUGGAUCCGCGCUGCAUUAGCUAGUUGGUAAGGUAACGGCUUACCAAGGCAACGAUGCAUAGCCGACCUGAGAGGGUGAUCGGCCACACGGGAACGGAGACACGGUCCAGACUCCUACGGGAGGCAGCAGUGGGGAAUCUUCCGAAAUGGGCGAAAGCCGGACGGAGCAACGCCGCGUGGGGGAUGAAGUUCUUCGGAUCGUAAAACUCUGUUAUUAGGGAAAAACAUAUGUGUAAGUAACUGUGCACAUCUUGACGGUACCAAAACAAAAAGCCACGGCUAACUACGU
rnacentral:rRNA from 1 species